rnacentral:rRNA from 1 species
CCUACGGGCGGCAGCAGUGAGGAAUAUUGGUCAAUGGGCGGGAGCCUGAACCAGCCAAGUCGCGUGAGGGACGACGGUCCUAUGGAUUGUAAACCUCUUUUGUCGGGGAACAAAGGCGUCCACGGGUGGGCGGAUGAGUGUACCCGAAGAAAAAGCAUCGGCUAACUCCGUGCCAGCAGCCGCGGUAAUACGGAGGAUGCGAGCGUUAUCCGGAUUUAUUGGGUUUAAAGGGUGCGUAGGCGGCCUUUUAAGUCAGCGGUGAAAGUCUGUGGCUCAACCAUGGAAUUGCCGUUGAAACUGGGGGGCUUGAGUAUGUUUGAGGCAGGCGGAAUGCGUGGUGUAGCGGUGAAAUGCUUAGAUAUCACGCAGAACCCCGAUUGCGAAGGCAGCCUGCCAAGCCAUGACUGACGCUGAUGCACGAAAGCGUGGGGAUCAAACAGGAUUAGAUACCCCAGUAGUC